AACGAACGCUGGCGGCAGGCUUAACACAUGCAAGUCGAACGCCCCGCAAGGGGAGUGGCAGACGGGUGAGUAACGCGUGGGAACGUGCCCUUCGCUUCAGGAUAGCCUCGGGAAACUGGGAGUAAUACUGGAUACGCCGUAUUGGGAAAGAUUUAUCGGCGAAGGAUCGGCCCGCGUUAGAUUAGGCAGUUGGCGGUGUAAUGGACCACCAAGCCUACGAUCUAUAGCUGGUCUGAGAGGAUGAUCAGCCACACUGGGACUGAGACACGGCCCAGACUCCUACGGGAGGCAGCAGUGGGGAAUCUUGGACAAUGGGCGCAAGCCUGAUCCAGCCAUGCCGCGUGAGUGAAGAAGGCCUUAGGGUUGUAAAACUCUUUCGCCGGAGAAGAUAAUGACGGUAUCCGGAGAAGAAGCCCCGGCUAACUUCGUGCCAGCAGCCGCCGCUGUAA
rnacentral:rRNA from 1 species